rnacentral:rRNA from 1 species
AACGAACGCUGGCGGCGCGCCUAAUACAUGCAAGUCGAGCGAGAAGACGUAGCAAUACGUUUGUAAAGCGGCGAACGGGUGAGGAAUACAUGGGUAACCUACCCUCGAGUGGGGAAUAACUAGCCGAAAGGUUAGCUAAUACCGCAUACGACUCCUGGUCUGCGGAUUGGGAGGGAAAGCGAUACCGUGGGUAUCGCGCUCUUGGAUGGGCUCAUGUCCUAUCAGCUUGUUGGUGAGGUAACGGCUCACCAAGGCUUCGACGGGUAGCUGGUCUGAGAGGACGAUCAGCCACACUGGCACUGCGACACGGGCCAGACUCCUACGGGAGGCAGCAGUAAGGAAUAUUGCGCAAUGGGCGACAGCCUGACGCAGCGACGCCGCGUGGGGGAUGAAGGUCUUCGGAUUGUAAACCCCUUUCGGCAGGGAAGAUGGAAUGGGUAACCAUUCGGACGGUACCUGCAGAAGCAGCCACGGCUAACUUCGUGCCAGCAGCCGCGGUAACAC